UGUGAUCUGUCUAGCCAUGAUGCUACACUGUCUCACAGACGGUCUACAGUGGAAGCUUUAGGAGUUGGAAAUGUAUUAAUUUUUCUUGGAUAAUAUGGGUAAAUUUCAGACAUAUUUGAAUUUUAAUUUAGUUGGAUAUUCACUUAUUUGUAAAAGCUAACUGGUUAGCUCCUAACAAAUAUUCAGAAAAUCUCAAAUGUUGAUUUUUAUACUAGCUUUUUAGUCUUUUAAGAUAAAGUUACAUUUUUUUUCUUUUACCAUGUCUUAGAAAAGACUUAAAUCGAAUACCUUUUUUAGGUUGUCUGUUCAAGUGUGCCACAGACAUUACCUCAUGAGGGAUUUCUGAGACUCACCUUUCUGUAGAAGAAGCUCUUUUCAAAUAUACCUAAGAAAAUCUGUUCUCUGAAAGUUAGAAAGCAGCUAGACAGUCUAACUUCAUUGAUUGGAGGCUAAGGGUUUCCCUGCUUGUGGGCAGCAGCAGUAAAACUGACAAUCGAUUUUGUGUGAAGUGUAUCAAAUGUCACUUCUAGAGAAUUUUUUUUUUUUAACAAAUUCUUUGCCUUCUAGAGGAAAGAAACCAUCUUUUCCUAAUACAAGCUACCACCAACGUGGGAAUUAUUUUCCAGUGUCAUUUAUGGCAGUAUUCUGCUACAGAUCACCUUCAUUCUUUUUCCUGCUAGUUAUGAGGGAUAACUUGAAGGAAUGAUGUUUUCUUGUUUGUAUGUUUUUGAAUGAUUUGUUAAUCAACCAGCUAUAUGUGAUGGUAAUGACAGCUAUUAUUUAUUCAAAGUGUAUUUUCUCUUCCAGGAGCGUUUCCAGGCAGUUUACAAACAUUUCAUGUCAGUAAUUCUUAUAAAGACAAAUUUGAAGCUCUGAUGGACUUCUUUGAGUGGGGAGUAGUAACUGCCAUCUCUUGUUUGUCCAGAUUAGUUGGUCGUUUACAGAAAACACUUAGGAUCUGCACUGUUGACUCUGUUGAGAAGAAGAAAACAGCCUAUGUUUUGCUGAUCCCUGAUGAAACACCAGAAUCUGUGAAAGGAGUUUCUACAAUGGUUUGCUCAGCUCUCAGGAGAGUUGCCCACAUGCAUGUUUUCCUGGUGAGGAAGGCCAGUAGUGUCUCCAAAGGCCAUCAUCGGCAGGCCUUGGGCUCAAGACCUGCUGCUUCAGAGUUUGGUGCCCGAGGAGCUCCAGGUGGUGUGGUGGAGUUGCUGGGCAAAUCCUACCCUCAGGACGACUACAGCAACCUCUCCCAGAAAGUCCUCUCCAGGCUUGGCAGGAAUCUGCACAAUCAGCAGCAUCACCCUCUCUGGCUGAUCAAGGAGAGGGUGAAGGAGCACUUCUACAAGCAGUAUGUGGGCCGCUUUAGGACUCCACUGUUCUCGGUCUACGAGGACCUUUCUCCAGUGGUCACCACCUGGCAGAACUUUGACAGCCUGCUCAUCCCAGCUGACCACCCCAGCCGGAAGAAGGGAGACAACUAUUACCUGAAUGGGACUCACAUGCUGCGAGCACACACGUCCGCACACCAGUGGGACCUGCUGCACGCUGGGCUGGAUGCCUUCCUGGUGGUGGGUGAUGUCUAUCGGCGCGACCAGAUCGACUCCCAGCACUACCCAGUGUUCCACCAGUUGGAGGGCGUCCGACUCUUCUCUAAACACGAGGUGAGUGCUGAGACCAUUCUUAUCAUUGAUACAUAG